rnacentral:rRNA from 1 species
AACGAACGCUGGCGGCAUGCCUAACACAUGCAAGUCGAACGAGACCUUCGGGUCUAGUGGCGCACGGGUGCGUAACGCGUGGGAAUCUGCCCUUGGGUUCGGAAUAACUCGCCGAAAGGCGUGCUAAUACCGGAUGAUGACGUAAGUCCAAAGAUUUAUCGCCCAAGGAUGAGCCCGCGUUGGAUUAGCUAGUUGGUGAGGUAAAGGCUCACCAAGGCGACGAUCCAUAGCUGGUCUGAGAGGAUGAUCAGCCACACUGGGACUGAGACACGGCCCAGACUCCUACGGGAGGCAGCAGUGGGGAAUAUUGGACAAUGGGCGAAAGCCUGAUCCAGCAAUGCCGCGUGAGUGAUGAAGGCCUUAGGGUUGUAAAGCUCUUUUACCCGGGAUGAUAAUGACCGUACCGGGAGAAUAAGCUCCGGCUAACUCCGUG